CGGGGCUGCGCUGCGCUGGGGCACGUGCCUAACCUGAGGCGGGCCGCUCCGUGCAGUCAGUAACUGAGAGUGUCUCGCUCUUUCCAGGGGAAUUCCAAGCAUUACCUGCAGCUCUGUUGAUUCUGUCACUGAAGAGGGGACAGUGUUUGAGCUGGAUAAGAGUGGGUGGUGAUGUUCCUGCUGUGGCAAAUGGUUAAUAACAAGAAAAACAAAAGGCUUGAUCCAUUAAAUUACUCAAGAAGAAGGAGGAAUGACAAUCGGUCCCCAUGGUGAAAGCAAGGGUUGUGCUCAAUACAGCAUUACAGCAAAUUGACAGGACCUUCUGUCCAAAGGGGGCGGGGGACUGAAUCCUUGUGGAAGAAGGGAUGGACUUCAGCUUACUAGGACCCCCUAGGACUGAUGGAGUGUGCUGGUAAUUUUGAUGGGGGAGUUCAGGAGAUGGAGCGCAACGUGAUUCAAGACAAAAGAGUCUCCAUUCUGAUUACUGCUCCAUUGUGUGACAGAGCAAAACAUUUCAAUGUGGUUGAGACUGAAUUUGAGUCAAGAAAAUACAAGUUGCAGACGGAAGGGGACAUGGCAGAUGUCUUUCACCCUGGCUAGCAAAUUUAAUCUUUGGACCAAUGUGUGUCAGAGAUGGCCUCAGGAUGAAAUGUCUGAUUAAGCAAUAAAAUUGCAUCAUGGCCUAAAUGAAGAUUUACUGACAGUGCUUCCAGGCAUACCUACCCCAAGCCCUUAUACUACCGGCUGCGUUGCCACUUGGUGUAAAGUAUCCACUUCACACAGGAUAGUUUGCUAUGGGCCCCUUUGGAAUAAAGCCGUCUCACAGCUGUGUGUUACCUGAACAGACUUGGAUUAAGUUUCUGUUGCCAUGGAAGCCAUGUAGUCCCCUCUAAUUAUUCUGUUCACAUGACAGCCAUGCCCACUGUGGGAUAAAUUCUGACAGAGUUCAGAUUACAAGGUAGGUUCCUUUCUCUUUUUUGGUGAGGCAGGCAUAUUGGAUUAAUGUGUAGCUGGCCUACAAAUAACUGAAAAGGCCUGAUUGCGCAGGGCAAGGUUUGUAAGUACAUAGUUUGAAAUUAUAAUGUAUAUGUCAUCUGCCAUGCUUAUCUCGUGGGUAAACAUGUUAAAUUAACUUGGAAAAAGAAGAGAUGCCUGCCAGCCACAGCUGUUAGUCUUAAUCUUUCUCAUUUAAUUUCUAAGCAAGCCUUUUCUCAUCUCACACAUUAUGCCUAGAAAGGGGGGGAUGUGUGUACUCCAUGAAUCUGGAGUGAGAUUUAUGGAAAAUCUGACAUGGAGCAGAAGAGAUGUGUUAUUGUGUACAUAUUGUUGGUUUUAACCAAUAAAACCCUAAAUGGCAUUUUUCAGACUGCCUUUCUUCGUAUAUGAUACACAACAGCUGAGCUCAGUGGAGGCACUCAGGCUACUAAGGAUCAGGGUGGUGCAUUUGAAUAAACUGAAAUACAUACAUAAAUAUAAAUGCAGUGGCAUAAAUGACAGGUAUGGCACAAGAGGUCAUCAGGAAAAUUAGAACAACCACCAAGGUGGGUUAAGAAGAGCGAGAUUGACAGCUUGUCUCAUGGAGACAUGCCAGAGAAACAGAAAAAGUAAGUACAUCCUGCAUGAGUCGUACCUAUGUUCUCAAUAAUUUCGUAGAUUUGAUAAAGUGGUUGGGAGAUUGAAUGUGAGACCGGAAUGCCAAGAAGAUGCAACAAGGAGGCAGAGGGAAAACACACAAAAGCAAGAUGAUUGGUGAGUAGCAAUCCCCAGAAUCUCUUGAAUCAAGUCUCUCAUCCUGGAAGUACUCUAGGUUCCCCAGAAGGUCUUCAGAAGAUGAUACUCAAAAUCUCUCUCAGACCUUUGAGAGGAUACCCUGAAUGUGACAGUAGCCAAAAAUCAAUUAAUGUUGUUAUUUAUUAUUAUUAUUAUUUAUUAUUAACCAUGUUUAUUAUGGAAGUGUCUAAAGGUCAACCAAGAAUGGGGCUUCAUUGUGCCAGGCUCUGUAAAAAAAACAAAAAACAAACCCAAAACAGCAGUUGUAGACAAUCCCUAUCCCCAAAGACUUUAUAAUCUAAAUAGUCUUGCUACUGUAUUCAGACAAGACAGACUUGCAAUUUAUAGUGAUUCAGAUGUUAAGAUGUAACCUGAGCAUUAUGAACAAGAGAAAUGACCCAUCCUGAAAACUCACAAUGUUACUAUGCCAGGAAUUCCAGAGGUGUACAUUUUUAUCCUACCUACAAACCUUGGGAGGCAAACACAUUUGGAGGACCGCUAAUAAAAGUGAAUAAGGCAAGAAAUUAAGUUGUCAGCAUUUCUCAAAUGAGUCUGUUCAUGAAGAUUAUUUUGAAGAUAUGAAAACUGGGUAAAAUUGUCUAAACACAACUCCCAAAUAACUUGCCCACAAAUACUGAUAACAUCUGCAACACAGUACGUAUUUUGUACAAUGAACCCAAGAUGACCUAUUCAGCAAACAUAAGGUUUAAAGACACGUCAGGCUUGUAACAACUACAGAUAGUCUAUGCUUUCCUAUUACUACAUAUCGGUACCAUCAAAAUUGUCAAAUACCGGAUGUUUCUUUAGCAUCCUUAAAUGCAAUGGACCCAUCACUAAAACUCUGUAAUUUGAUCUCACUGUAAUGAGUCAAAGUCUCUGUAAAUAUUAAAGGUGGUGAUGGAUUCACCUCCACAGUGUCCUCAGUUUUUUUUCCAGGGAAGCUUCCUAAAGAUUGGAUGCCUAUCCAAACUUAAUUGUUCACUUCUUGGUAUAGAAUUUGGGCUGUCAAGUUUGGGAUAACAGGUUUCCUCUCAGGAAGUCCAGUGCUCCCUUGCCUUGUUGGGAUUGGAAAACGUAAGGAUAUCUUUUCUAGCUGUGUUUCAGUAUGUUUGCUUCUGAGGAAAAAAAAAGAAGAAAAAGAAGAAGAAAAUAGUUUAUAAAUUAACAAACUAACUUUUUCAAACCUCAGAAUAGCUUCAGGUUCAGUUUUGUGUGAAGGAUCAGGUCUGUCAUUUUAUUUGAAGCAGUUCACCUAUCCUUAUUAAAUAUGGCACAUGCUGCUCUUUAUUACUACAUAAAACAGCUCUUAUGGCCAUAAUAAAGUAGAUAUGAAAUUCAAGGUGCUGUGCCUUUUAAAGAUAUGAUGCAGCCUCAAUACACUUGCAGGCAUAAGUCUAUCUAUCUAUCUAUCUAUCUAUCUAUCUAUCUAUCUAUCUAUCUAUCUAUCUAUCUAUCUAUCUAAUGUUUUUAUUAAUAGGGAGAAAAAAUGAAAUGCAUUGAAUUAAGAUAGCAUUCUGGAUGGACACACUGGAAAAAUAGGUAUUUUACUACAAAAAGGGAAUUGUUUUUUCUGACAAUGGGCAGGUCAGUAUCUUUGCUGAAAAGAUGCUGACCUGAAUAGACUAUCAAAAUGCUUCAUGGCUGUUAAAUGAAGAACUCAUCCUUCUAAUCUUUGAGUGGGAGAGGAGGCAUUUGUUCAAUAGUCUCACACACACACACACACACACACACACACACAGUGCAACAAAAUUUGAUUCACAACAAUAUCUAAUGGAUUGAAAAGAAAGCAAUGGGGUCUUUGCAAGAACCUCAGUGAACUAUUUUCCAUAGUUAUUUUAAUGAGAACAAUAAAAUGGAUGCAUCAGACACCAGGAAAUAUCCUGAGGCAUAUUGAUCUGAAUAGCCAGAGGAAAGUUGAUAGAGAGGUCCAAGCGACACAGAAAUGUUCCAAAGAUACUCAUCAUUAUCGAACUCUUUUUUAUGGAUAUGUGCUAUAGAGUAUAAUAGGAAUGAAACAUACAGGGUUCUGUAAAAAUUAAUGUUAAAAUCUACCAUGUGGAAUUUAAUUGAGAACCAGACCUUGAUGAUAUCUUAUUUUAAACUGAGAAUUCAUUAAAAAUAAUCUGGGAGGUGUGACAGGGUGUGAGUAGCCUAAGGCUGACUCCUCACUCUGUGCCCUUAGGUCUGGUCUACACCACAGAGUUAGGUCAACGCAAGGCAGCUUACGUCAACCUAACUAUGGAAGUGUCUACACUUAAAUAUUGCUCCCGCUGAUGUUACUGGCCAACUAUGCCAACUUAAUAACUCCACCUCUGCAAGUGGCGUAGUGUCAUGGUCAAUGUAGUUAGGUUGACACAGUGUCAGUGUAGACACUGCAUUGCUUAUAUUGGCUGUUACUGGCUUUCAGGAACCAUCCCACAAUGCCCCACACUGAUAAUACAAUCCAUAUAAGCGCACCUGGUGAGGACAUGCACUGCUGACACAAGGAGCAAAGUGCAGACACGGAUAAGCAAUACAAUUACUGCGAUGGCUGUACGCCAACAUAAGCUAGGUCAACUUAAUUUUUUAGUGUAGACAUGGCCUCAGUAAGUGUUCCCACAUGAGCCAAAGUGAUGAGAUAAUUGAUUAAGUACCAGGUGAUUAAUCAGUCAGCAAGGGGAUUCAGCUCCUCAGCUGAGGAUGGUUAAAUGAGAGUCAGGAGGAGGCUGGAAGGCAGAAGGACAAAGGAUCUCAGGAUCUCAGAGAGAUGAGAUUUCUCUUCUGCCCUGUGCCUUGGUAGUAGGUAAAGGCUUGGGGAAAAGCCUUAUGCAGUGAGGAACAAACACUUGUAAAGCAUGUUGUAAACCAGACAUUCUCAAACUGGUGAGCAUGCCCCCUAGAGGGCAUGGAAUGUGUUGGGGUGGGGGGGGCAUCAGAAGAUUUAGGGAAAAAAACUUACUGCACAUAUUCAGAGCUGGGCAGCUGGAGAGCAGUGGCUGCUGGCCAGGUGCCCAGCUCUGAAGCCAGCACUGCUGCCAGCAGUAGUGGAGAAGUAAGGGCAUAGCAUGUCACUUUUACUUCUGAACUGCUGUGGUGGUGAUGCUGCCUUCAGAGCUGGGAGCCUGACCAGAUGCAGCUGAUCUCCCCUCUGUCUUCAGAGCUGGGUGGUUGGAAAGCAGUGUCUGCUAGCUGGGCACCCUGGGAGGGGGCAUGUAAAUUACCGACAUAAAGAAUGGGGGCAUGAUAAGUUUGAGAACCACUGUUGUAAAUAAUGCAGAUGGUGUGGAACAUGCCAUUGGUGUGCAUGAGGACUGUUUGCAGCAAGAAAUACAGGGUGAGGGAACCAUGCCCUGUGACCGGAGGGAACUGCAGAGUAGUGGUAUUAUGUCAAUAAUAAAAUUCACACACAAAGGGGCCUGAUUCUGAUCUCUCACCAGUUUUACAUGGGGGGUCACACCACUAGCUUCAGUGGAGUUACUCUUGAUUUACACUGGAGUAAGUAAGAUCCUAGGAGUACCAAUUGCUCUUAAGAUGGGCUGAAACUUCAGUGGAAUUUCAGAUGUGAGACCAUUGGGUUAAGGUCUCAACUGUGAGCAGCCCUGUAAUACUGCUCUUUGGCUAUGCAGUGCCCAGAAGUCUUAAGUCUCAUUACAAGUAUAAAGUCUAUGUUUUAUUCAUCUGUGUGAGCCAAAUUCUGCCCUUAGAAACAUGUGCCCAGCUCCUGUUGGAAAAAAUGGGAAUUGUAUGAGUGUAUCUGAGGGAGGUGUGAGCAUAGACUGCCAUAGUUUUCAUCCAUUUCGCAUGGCAUCAGAAUUGUGUCUCCCCCAUUGUAAUGUUACAAGAUUUCACUUGCUAAGAAUUCAGUACUUUGCACCAUAUGUAUCUAAAUGUAGCUUAGGGACGAACACCGUUACAUUUUUCUCUCAUUUCUUAUUGUUCACCCCUCUUCUGUCUGUGACUUCAUUUCAGACCAAGAAAGUCAAUAUUUACUCUGCUUUUUUAUUUUUCAUUUUGCUGCUCUAUUAUACCAUAACUAAUAUAGGCUGAUCUUACAUAAUGUGAUACAUUGGUGGUGACAACAGAAGGUUACCAUGCCUAUCACAAAUAAACAUGAUAAAAUAACACAGGUUUAUAGUCAGAAGAAAUAUCUAUUUUAGCAGGUGUCAAAGCAGCUAAAACACUUAUUCAGUGAUAACUUUCUACCCAGUUUUCAAGUGUCUCUUGCUUUCUCUUCAUCUGCCUUAUACUUUAUUUCUACAAUGCUUUGCAUUUGUAUUUAUUUAUUAAUUUAUGUCGAGUAACACUAUCAUUUUGACUCAUUGCUUAACAAAGAGGAGCAUGGUUCAUGGUCUCCUUUGCCCUAUGGCCAAUUUGCCUAGCUUGAUCCAAAUUUAUGUUCUUCUUGCCUACUCAUGGUUAAGCAUUUAGGGUCCAUUGGUGCAAAACCUCACAUGUAGGGGGAAGCAGCAGAUAGUGUCCAUUACUCUUCCCUAGGGUACGUGUACACUACACACUUAAGUUAACUUCAGAUAAGUCGAUGUCCAGCCGUCACAGUAAUUAAGUUGGUAGUGUGCGUCCAUACCACACUCUUUGUGUUGGUGGAGCGCGUCCUCAUUAGCAGCUCUUGCACUGAUGCAGAGAGCAGUGCACUGUGGGUAGUUAUCCCACAGUGCAACUUGCUGCAGAGGGUUUUGGGAAGGGCUUGCAAUGCCCUUCCCAAACUUUUGAGUUUCAUCGCAAAAAGUCAUUGGCAAGUGUAGAUGCUCCCAUGGUUUUUGCGCAAAAAAGGGACUUUUUCCGCUUUAAAUGACAAGAGUAGAUAUGUCCUAGGUUAGACCUCAGUGAAAGCAAUAUCCCCAUGGUUAUAGCUGCCUGCUGUGUGCUUCAUAAUACCUGUGAGGCAAAGGGAGACAAGUUUGCACAGAGAUGGGGCGUGGAGGUGGAUCGGCUGUCUGCUAAUUUUGAGCAGCUAGAUACCAGGGCUAUAAGAAGAGAGCAUGGGGUACUGCAUCUCAGGGAGGCUUUGAAAAUCCAUUUUAGUCAUGACCCACAGUAAUGUGCACUGCUUCUCUGUGUUGUGCCUUCCAUAGUGUGAACCUUGCUGAGAUGGCUGGGUUUUUGUCCUCAGCACCUCCCCUCUGUUGCCUCAGGUUCCCUGUCCCGCCCCGUCUCCCUGUUUUAAAUUAACAAAGAUACUUUCAUUCACAAGACAUGGACUUUUAUUGCACAAACAUACUGAAACUUAAAGAGCACAAAUAGUAUUUAACCUUGGACACAUGGUGGAAUAAAAUUGGGAGGGGAAAAACACAUUAAUCUUGUCUUUAAAAGCAGUGGCCUUGCCUGUCACACAUCAUUGUAUGUCCCGCUUUUAUUCUUAGGACUCUCCCUUUGGGCUUGAGUGGAAGGAAUAUUGCAUUUCCCCCCCUUGCCUCCUAGAACGUUUGGUAGUGGGGAAAGAUGGUGAUGUUGGAAGGCAGCUCUGCAGGGACUGCAAAGGGAGUCUAGCCUCAAGAUUUUUCUCCUGAAGGUCAACCAGAUGCCUCAAUAUGUCUGUUCCAUCAGAAUCCACAGCAUCUCCUGCUGCAUGCCACACUCAUGCUUCUGGGCUGCUCUCCUACUCGCAAUGUCCAUGUCCCAUUUUUCAGAGAGAGAAGUCUCCACACUUAAUGCUUGGUGUCUGCCAUCCCAGAGGCAUUCAUUAUCUCAUUAAACAUGUCAUCAUGCAUUCUCUUUAGCCUUCGUCUUAUAGGGGAGAGCCUCUCCACCGGUGUGCAGGAAGAGCUGAAGGCUGCACUUUCAGCUGUAAGCCAUGGAAAGCACAAAGCAACCAAUGUCAGUGCAGACCCAGUGUUCAGUGCAGAGUUGCUAUAUAAAAAUCUCUCCCCUUGUUUUAUGGAAGUUUAAGGCAGAACCUUUUCAUUUACACUAGGUAUUUAUUGAACCUGUUUGCUGUCCCAGCCAUGGUGAAUAUGGCCCUGGGGCAUCGGUGCUGAACCAUCAGCAGCAUUGAGUGGGCAACCCACCACGGACCAGAGGUGGGCAAAGGGCCAUGCCAUCUCCUCCUUGUAACAUGGACAUUGUCUGGAGAUUGGGGACCAGCGCUGACCUCCCAAACUACAAGCCUUGGCAGAGGCUGCGCUGGAGGGGGUGCGUGCCUGCUACAAUGUGUGGGCACCACAAAAUUUCCCUUCCCCCUGGUGCCACUGCUGCUAGCUGUCAUCUGAGGAUUGCAGUUACGAAGGUCAAUGAGGACCCCUGCCACCCAAACUACAGCCAUGUUUUGGAAAUCGUGAGUGAAGGAGUGGAAAAUCACAAUGCAGGGGGACCACACAUACUAUUUUUUGUGGUCCGAGCAGUUGAAAUGAAAACUACCACCAUUUCCCCUAGGUGACCCUAUGCGAUAUCACUCUCCUGAGGGUAACAGAGGCAGCAAGAGAAUAGAUGCUGCAAGGUCCAGGUCCAGACCGGGCGCUCAUGCUGCUAUGCUGUGUACUGCAAUGAUGCCAGCAGAAUUAAUAUUGGAGUGGCGCGGGAAAGUGUCUUGCCAUGGUGGAAGAAAUAAGGCAGCCCUUCCCAGAAACCUUCUGCAAUGGAUUGCAGAGUACCACCACAAAAGUUUCUUGAAGCUCUCUGUGGAGGUUUUCUGGGCCAUCCCUGUGUACUGUGACAGACCCAGACCAGUGGGGUACAGGAAUCUGGUAGAUGGCAAAUACACUGGUCGCUGGAUGAGUAGUUUUCUGUUCCCUGAUGACCAGAGCAGGGGCUGCACUAGAGUAAUCAGGAACCUGCUAGAACCAGUUAAGGCAGGCAGGUUCUAAUUAGGACAC